ACACUGCUGAGGAGUCCCACAAAAGAACGAAACGGUCGUCCAGUGC
rnacentral:hammerhead_ribozyme from 1 species